GGGAAGUGUACACGUUCGUGUGUCGCAGACCAUCGAGCCGAUUUUGAAAGGAUCUUUUUCAUAGCCUACGCUUGCCCUACGUGGCCAAACGAAAAGGCCUUUUUUGACAAAGGAAAUAUUAAGUUUUUCCCUCCUUCCCAAGUUCAACGGGGGUCAUGAAGUUGACCCCGUUGAGAAGACGUGACCGAUGACGUCGGGGAGGAUCCCAGAAGAAUCCUUCAGGCAGUACACGCAGCGAACGCUGGGCUCGUUCGUGCCUUACACUGCAGAGGGGACAAAUAUAUCUUGGGUGACACCGAUCUUGGAAUCUUUACUGACACACUUCGUAUGUUGUAUUUUUUGUUGGUGUUCUUUUUGACCAAUGAGAUUUCAGCCUCCGCGUCGCCGUGUCCUUCUCAUCUGCCCUUCGGAAUCAGUAGCGCCGGCCAAACUUUAAAAGCAAGGGGCACUGCUUCUCAAACUAAUGACAUUUCAAAUUCGCCUCAGAGCGCCAGCACACAUGUAAUAAUCAGCCUCUCUGUAGCGUUUUUGGAGCCUGGAUGGCACUUUGCACCCUGCCGCCAAUGUCCCCACCACUGCCUGCCAACCCACCUAGGACCGCCUCCAUUACCUUUCCUAAAUAAACUGUUCACUAUAAUCUAUCUGCCUCCGCCUGCUCUUGGGUCCAGCUCCUCUCCAUACGUGACAGAAUACUUCGGCCAUGAUGGACCCAGCGACCCCGGAGGCGCUUAAGAACGCACUCACCAUCCAAGGCGCCCGCACAGGAAGACAAGAAAAGACUCUCCAAGAAAUGAUGGAAUCCCUACACUCCCUCACGCAACAAGUAUCCCUCCUUCCCUCGAAGAUGGAAUCCGACCUCCCUCUGAGCCUGGUCAUUUUAGUUCCUCUUGCCCCCUCUGGCCAAAAGGCCAGGCUCGCCGCGAACCGAGAGCGUCGUAGUAAGCCAAACCUCCAUUCCCUUUAGCUCUCCCUCCCGUACGACCGUUCCCGCUCGCAUCAUAGUUUCUACUCAUAACACCCCCAUUGACUGCCCUUAUUGAUUCCGGUGCCGAUGACAAUUUUAUUCAUGAAGAUAUAAUUCACCGGCUCCGAAUCCCUCUCCAACCACUUCCGUCCCCGAAUAAUGUCACAGACCUGGAUGGCCGAGAGCCGAGCCAUCGCCGACUGGCCCAUCCCCAUUACCCGGAACUAACUGCAACGCUCCCGCGGAUUUUCCAACUUCUACCGUCAAUUUAUCCGCGACUACAGCAAGGUCGCAAUCCCCCUCGCCAGCCUCACAUCGAUCAGCUCCCCCUUUCGGUGGACCCCAGCAGCCUCUCCGGCAUUCAGUAAACUCAAAUCCCUGCUCACCAAUGCUCUCACUCUGCGCCUCCCUCCAGUUCGUGGUGGAGGUUGACGCCUCGGACUCUGGAGCUGGAGCUGUCCUCUCGCAGCGGGACCCCUCGACCGAGAAACUACACCCCUGUGCUCGCCGCCUAUCCCCUGCGGAGAGGAAAUAUGAUAUGAAAUAUGACGUGAGCUGCUGGCCAUAAUAUGGUCCCUGGAGGAGUGGAGGCACGGGCUGGAGGGGACUGAACAGCCAUUUCUCCUUUGGACCGACCACAAAAACCUCACUUACCUCCGUUCUGCUAAACGUCUCAACCCCCGACAGGCUCGCUGGGCACUAUUGCUGAGCAGGUUCAAUUUCAGUCUCUCCUUCCGCAUGCAACCCCUGCUCGUGGAUCGAAGACGCUCACAACUCCCUCACCAGCUCCGCUACCGCUAUGUCGCCGUUCAUGGCUUGCCACGGUUACCGACCCCCAUUAUUCAAAGAACGGGAGCGGGCAGUGGCAGUCCCCGCCAUUCAAGAUCACCUCCAGCGAGUCCAGGCGGUGUGGAAGGACGUCCGGGCGGCCGCACGCAAUAAACAGCUCGCGGACCGUCAUCGCACCCCGACGCUCGAAUACAAGCCUGUCCCCACCUGCGCCCCGAAACCUCCGGCCGGGAGGCGAAUCCGCAGAGACGGGGGUACUGUCAUGAACUGCUCUGCAGUACCAUUAUUGGAGCCUGGAGGUCGCUUUGCGCCCUCUCGCCCUCUCUCUCUCCCCUCCCUUUCUCUUUUCAGCACCUUCCGCAAUCCGCGCACCUGUCUCCAAUCAGCCCUCGUCACCACCGACGUAUAAGCCUGCCUGUUUCCGGAAAUCCACGGCAAAGUACCGCGUCUCAUUCCAGCGGUACCACCGGCCCACUUACCUCACGUAAGCCACACUGUUCCUUGUUUCCCUUUUUGACUCCCGUGUCUCUCCUCGUUCCGAGUGUUUCCCCCGUGUUCCUGAUCCUCGUCGUUCCUGCCGCCUGUCCACGCCGCUGCCCGCCAACACAUCCAGGACCACCUCCAUCACCUUCCUCAAUAAACUGUUCAUCACUA